CUCCCCUCACCGCCCCCAGCACACGCAAUAAACACCAGUCCCCGGCGCCUCUGCUCCCCAGGACCGGGGGUGUCUGACCGCCCUGGACGAGAGGGCUCAGCAGGGAGGGCACCUGGUGAGUGACAUCCACAUCCACGGGCACUGGUGCAAGAGAUGUGGACACACCAAGCCCAAAACAGAGGGAUGCCUGUUCCUGGGAGAGGGUCCUGCUCCCAGAUCCCACCCUGCAAGCAGCACCUGGAGGAGUGUGGAGGCCAAACCUGCUUCCUCCAUCACUGAGUUGGGCUUUGUUGGGCUGGAUCUAUGUGUGUCAGCCCUUGGAUGGGCCUUGCCUGUCUGGGGAACCAUCCCAGGGGAUGGAGGAACCCACCCAUGUGAUGGAGAAACCCACCCAAGGGAUGGAAUAACAAGUCCAGGGGAUGGAGAAACCUGCCCGAGGGAUGGAGGACCUCAGCCGUGGGAUGGAGGAGCCUGCCCAGAGGAUGGAGGGACUUGCACACAAGAUGGAGGAACCCGGUCAUGGGAUGGAGGAACCUGCCUGCCACCCCACUGCCAGUGGGGAUCCAGGGGCACCAAGACACUGCCUGGUGGUCACGCCGUGCCGUGCCCAUGCCGUGCCAUAUCCAUGCACAUCCUGCAAACCCAUCACGUUUACCCAGCCUCGUACCAACCUCUGCCCUGGCCAGAGCCACCCAGAGCCAGAUGGUUCAUCCCAGCAAUUCCACACACACACACGCUUCCUUCCAGCUCCAUUACAGUCUCUGCUCCCUCACCACAAAAGAACAAACAUUUCCCUCUUCAAACUCAAUUAUCCGCUGCUAUUUAUACCGAGCGGGAGCCGCGGUGGAAGGGGCUCUGUUACACAACCCAGUUACUCAUCCCUCGCUUGGUUGGCACGACUCGGGGAGGCUCCUUCCUCCCAUCCUCAUCCUCAUCCUCCCUGCUACCCACCACUGACUCACAGGAAAGGCACAGGCAGCUGCCAGCAGUGGAUUUAGCUCCUGGAACACGCGGGAUGGUUUGGCACUCACUCUGGGGUCAGUUGGUCGGUGUAGUGGGGUGUUGGUACCCUACAACUAGGGAUGCAGGGAUGUUCCAUCCCUAUAAGCUUUGCCACAUCAUUUGC